rnacentral:rRNA from 1 species
AUGUGGGGGACAUUCCACGUUUUCCGCGUCGUAGCUAACGCAUUAAGUGCCCCGCCUGGGGAGUACGGCCGCAAGGCUAAAACUCAAAGGAAUUGACGGGGGCCCGCACAAGCGGCGGAGCAUGCUGAUUAAUUCGAUGCAACGCGAAGAACCUUACCAAGGCUUGACAUGUUCUCGAUCGCCGUARAGAUACGGUUUCCCCUUUUGGGCGGGAUCACAGGUGGUGCAUGGUUGUCGUCAGCUCGUGUCGUGAGAUGUUGGGUUAAGUCCCGCAACGAGCGCAACCCUCGUUCCAUGUUGCCAGCACGUAAUGGUGGGGACUCAUGGGAGACUGCCGGGGUCAACUCGGAGGAAGGUGGGGACGACGUCAAAUCAUCAUGCCCCUUAUGUCUUGGGCUUCACGCAUGCUACAAUGGCCGGUACAAUGGGUUGCGAUACUGUGAGGUGGAGCUAAUCCCAAAAAGCCGGUCUCAGUUCGGAUUGGGGUCUGCAACUCGACCCCAUGAAGUCGGAGUCGCUAGUAAUCGCAGAUCAGCAACGCUGCGGUGAAUACGUUCCCGGGCCUUGUACACACCGCCCGUCAAGUCACGAAAGUCGGUAACACCCGAAGCCGGUGGCCUAACCCUUGUGGGGGGAGCCGUCGAAGGUGGGGCUG